CAUUGAACUUCAACCAUAGUUUUAAAUUAGAAAUGAUCAGAAGCCCUUCAUUACAGCUGUAGCGAUUUGUCUUGUGUGAGAGGAUGUUAAAAUUCAGUACUGAGCUGAAACAGUCUUUAUGACUUCAUAUAUGACUUCACAGCUUCAAAAUUCCACUCUGAUACAGCCUGAAUCUCUCUCUCUCUCUCUCUUUCUCUCUCCGUCUACCUCCACUCACUCGCUCGCUCGUUCUUUCUGUCUGGCCAAGCCUCGGGUAGAAAAAUGUAGCAUAGCUUUGACAGCUAUCCCUGAUGGUUAUUUUUGGAUUCCAGGAGAAACUAUCACUAAAUGUUGUACGAGAGAUAUGUACUGUGAAGACGCUCAGAUCAUGUUCCUGCAACGCAGUUUGAGUUUGAUCUUCCAUUAUCAUCUGAUUUUUCAGCGUCAUGUCACUAUGUCAUGCCCCCUUCCUCUUCUUCCUCCUUUUGCAGUGAAUGUUUCUAUCCACGUUCUUCUAGACCCUCUGGUAUUGCCCAAUUCAUCUGACACGCAGCUAUCAAUCUUUAAUGAAUUCAUAGAUGAGCACAGAGACUCUUAUAAGAAAUAUAUAACAGAGAAACUCAAAGACUCAGCUGUUGCAUCAAAGCAGGCCGUGAUGUUUCAGGUCUCUUAAUGAGGAAGUAACCUGCCUGAUCUCCAAGGAGUAAAUUGCAUCUCAGAAGGAAACAAUCUCAGGAAACAUUAGUUCACUAAACAUAUGAAUCGGUCUACUGGAUUUGAGGG
ensembl:lncRNA